GGGUUGUGAGGUUAAGCGACUAAGCGUACACGGUGGAUGCCCUGGCAGUCAGAGGCGAUGAAGGACGUGCUAAUCUGCGAUAAGCGUCGGUAAGGUGAUAUGAACCGUUAUAACCGGCGAUUUCCGAAUGGGGAAACCCAGUGUGAUUUGUCACACUAUCAUUAACUGAAUCCAUAGGUUAAUGAGGCGAACCGGGGGAACUGAAACAUCUAAGUACCCGAGGAAAAGAAAUCAACCGAGAUUCCCCCAGUAGCGGCGAGCGAACGGGGAGGAGCCCAGAGCCUGAAUCAGUGUGUGUGUUAGUGGAAGCGUCUGGAAAGGCGCGCGAUACAGGGUGACAGCCCCGUACACAAAAAUGCACAUGCUGUGAGCUCGAUGAGUAGGGCGGGACACGUGGUAUCCUGUCUGAAUAUGGGGGGACCAUCCUCCAAGGCUAAAUACUCCUGACUGACCGAUAGUGAACCAGUACCGUGAGGGAAAGGCGAAAAGAACCCCGGCGAGGGGAGUGAAAAAGAACCUGAAACCGUGUACGUACAAGCAGUGGGAGCACGCUUAGGCGUGUGACUGCGUACCUUUUGUAUAAUGGGUCAGCGACUUAUAUUCUGUAGCAAGGUUAACCGAAUAGGGGAGCCGAAGGGAAACCGAGUCUUAACUGGGCGUUAAGUUGCAGGGUAUAGACCCGAAACCCGGUGAUCUAGCCAUGGGCAGGUUGAAGGUUGGGUAACACUAACUGGAGGACCGAACCGACUAAUGUUGAAAAAUUAGCGGAUGACUUGUGGCUGGGGGUGAAAGGCCAAUCAAACCGGGAGAUAGCUGGUUCUCCCCGAAAGCUAUUUAGGUAGCGCCUCGUGAAUUCAUCUCCGGGGGUAGAGCACUGUUUCGGCAAGGGGGUCAUCCCGACUUACCAACCCGAUGCAAACUGCGAAUACCGGAGAAUGUUAUCACGGGAGACACACGGCGGGUGCUAACGUCCGUCGUGAAGAGGGAAACAACCCAGACCGCCAGCUAAGGUCCCAAAGUCAUGGUUAAGUGGGAAACGAUGUGGGAAGGCCCAGACAGCCAGGAUGUUGGCUUAGAAGCAGCCAUCAUUUAAAGAAAGCGUAAUAGCUCACUGGUCGAGUCGGCCUGCGCGGAAGAUGUAACGGGGCUAAACCAUGCACCGAAGCUGCGGCAGCGACACUAUGUGUUGUUGGGUAGGGGAGCGUUCUGUAAGCCUGUGAAGGUGGCCUGUGAGGGUUGCUGGAGGUAUCAGAAGUGCGAAUGCUGACAUAAGUAACGAUAAAGCGGGUGAAAAGCCCGCUCGCCGGAAGACCAAGGGUUCCUGUCCAACGUUAAUCGGGGCAGGGUGAGUCGACCCCUAAGGCGAGGCCGAAAGGCGUAGUCGAUGGGAAACAGGUUAAUAUUCCUGUACUUGGUGUUACUGCGAAGGGGGACGGAGAAGGCUAUGUUGGCCGGGCGACGGUUGUCCCGGUUUAAGCGUGUAGGCUGGUUUUCCAGGCAAAUCCGGAAAACUAAGGCUGAGGCGUGAUGACGAGGUACUACGGUGCUGAAGCAACAAAUGCCCUGCUUCCAGGAAAAGCCUCUAAGCAUCAGGUAACAUCAAAUCGUACCCCAAACCGACACAGGUGGUCAGGUAGAGAAUACCAAGGCGCUUGAGAGAACUCGGGUGAAGGAACUAGGCAAAAUGGUGCCGUAACUUCGGGAGAAGGCACGCUGAUAUGUAGGUGAGGUCCCUCGCGGAUGGAGCUGAAAUCAGUCGAAGAUACCAGCUGGCUGCAACUGUUUAUUAAAAACACAGCACUGUGCAAACACGAAAGUGGACGUAUACGGUGUGACGCCUGCCCGGUGCCGGAAGGUUAAUUGAUGGGGUUAGCGCAAGCGAAGCUCUUGAUCGAAGCCCCGGUAAACGGCGGCCGUAACUAUAACGGUCCUAAGGUAGCGAAAUUCCUUGUCGGGUAAGUUCCGACCUGCACGAAUGGCGUAAUGAUGGCCAGGCUGUCUCCACCCGAGACUCAGUGAAAUUGAACUCGCUGUGAAGAUGCAGUGUACCCGCGGCAAGACGGAAAGACCCCGUGAACCUUUACUAUAGCUUGACACUGAACAUUGAGCCUUGAUGUGUAGGAUAGGUGGGAGGCUUAGAAGUGUGGACGCCAGUCUGCAUGGAGCCGACCUUGAAAUACCACCCUUUAAUGUUUGAUGUUCUAACGUUGACCCGUAAUCCGGGUUGCGGACAGUGUCUGGUGGGUAGUUUGACUGGGGCGGUCUCCUCCUAAAGAGUAACGGAGGAGCACGAAGGUUGGCUAAUCCUGGUCGGACAUCAGGAGGUUAGUGCAAUGGCAUAAGCCAGCUUGACUGCGAGCGUGACGGCGCGAGCAGGUGCGAAAGCAGGUCAUAGUGAUCCGGUGGUUCUGAAUGGAAGGGCCAUCGCUCAACGGAUAAAAGGUACUCCGGGGAUAACAGGCUGAUACCGCCCAAGAGUUCAUAUCGACGGCGGUGUUUGGCACCUCGAUGUCGGCUCAUCACAUCCUGGGGCUGAAGUAGGUCCCAAGGGUAUGGCUGUUCGCCAUUUAAAGUGGUACGCGAGCUGGGUUUAGAACGUCGUGAGACAGUUCGGUCCCUAUCUGCCGUGGGCGCUGGAGAACUGAGGGGGGCUGCUCCUAGUACGAGAGGACCGGAGUGGACGCAUCACUGGUGUUCGGGUUGUCAUGCCAAUGGCACUGCCCGGUAGCUAAAUGCGGAAGAGAUAAGUGCUGAAAGCAUCUAAGCACGAAACUUGCCCCGAGAUGAGUUCUCCCUGACCCUUUAAGGGUCCUGAAGGAACGUUGAAGACGACGACGUUGAUAGGCCGGGUGUGUAAGCGCAGCGAUGCGUUGAGCUAACCGGUACUAAUGAACCGUGAGGCUUAACCUUACAACGCCGAAGCUGUU
rnacentral:rRNA from 1 species